rnacentral:misc_RNA from 1 species
AACGCACAUUGCGCCCCUCGGUUCUCCGGGGGGCAUGUCUGUCCGAGCGUCGUCUCAACAUCAAGCCCAGCUUGGUCCUGGGGAUCGUGCCGCCCGGCGGCGCGUCCCUCGAACGCAACUUGUCGGUCCCACCAGUGAGGCGCAGUAGAAUGCCGCCAAAAGCUCGGUACCGACUGUCACCCAGUGAAAAAACCUGGCUGACCUCGGAUCAGAUAGGGAUACCCGCUGAACUUAA